UACGGAGGGUGCAAGCGUUGUCCGGAUUUAUUGGGUUUAAAGGGUGCGUAGGCGGCCGAUUAAGUCUGGGGUGAAAGCCCACUGCUCAACAGUGGAACUGCCCUGGAAACUGGUCGGCUUGAGUACAGACGAGGGUGGCGGAAUGGAUGGUGUAGCGGUGAAAUGCAUAGAUACCAUCCAGAACCCCGAUUGCGAAGGCAGCUGCCUAGACUGUAACUGACGCUGAGGCACGAAAGCGUGGGGAGCGAACAGG
rnacentral:rRNA from 1 species